rnacentral:tRNA from 1 species
AAGAAUUUAGUUUGAUAUAAAAAUGUUAGAUUGUAAAUCUAAAGAAGUUAGUUCUUGG